GCGCCGGUGGUGUACGGUACACGCCCGUUGAAUGUAGUCCCCUUCUUCGCCCUCUGCAAGACGGGAUCCCGGGGUUCGACUCCCCGCCGGUGCA